rfam:Pseudomonas putida KT2440 complete genome.
GUUUAUGGCGGCUGUACGUGGGGCACCUUCGUGUGCGCCGAGUUACUCCGGGAUCCUCGGUCUGUCAACCCAUGUACAGCUGCCACCCUC